UUCUAUCUUUCUUUUUCUCUCUCACUCUAUUUCUUUCCUUCUCUCGUAAGGCUGUCUCUCGCCAAGUUCGUUUCUCUUUCUCUCUCUCUCUCUCUCUCUCUGUUUCUCUUUUAUUCGUAACACAUAUAGUGUACGUUUAGUCUCUUUCUUUCUUCUUUCACUCUUUAUCUCUAUCUCUACAUCUCUUUAUCUCUUUCUCUCGCAACGAGAAACGACCAGAGUUUCUCUCUAUAUACAUAUGACGAUAUGACGAUGAUGACGACGACGACGACGACGAUGAUGAUGACGAUGAUGAUGAUGAUGAUGGCGGCGAGCGAGUGUCCUCAACGCCAUUGAGAGAGACAGAGAGAAAGCGAAAAAGAGAUAAUAGCAAAAUGGCGCGUCGUUCUCGUAACGCAUAUACAGAAUGAUAUUAUCCUCGCCAUAUCCUCUCGUAGAUUUACAAUUAAAUUAAAUGAUUUCCGUUUAUCGACUAGAGAUAAAAAGAAUUGUUUUAUUUCCUACAAAAACUAUAUCCUCACUCGCGUAAAUAUUCUCAUACUCUCCUUCUGUUCGCUCUUUCGUUGGAAAGAAAGAAAAAAAGAAAAACAGAAAGAAAGAAAGAAAGAAAUCAUCCCGCGUUUUCACUGUCGGUUUCUUUUAGUUCGCAUUCGAUUCGAAAGCGUCCAACGA